CAGACAGGAAAUGGAAAUGUAUGGUGUCACUCUGAAAAGGUGUAAGGGUUUGAAUAAGAAGGAUUUGGCGGCUUGCUCCAGCUUUCAAAGGCAAGUUCAGGUAAAGCCUCCAGCCACGAUAAGUCCACACGCCCUGCCCACUAAUGCGGCCGUUGUACCAGAAUUCAGCAGCUGAAGCAGGUCUUAGUCAGUCUGCAGACUGGAUGUGACUCCCGAGCCACAUUUUGAAGAGAGACGUGCUGGUCCUGAAGUAUGGUGAAUUCACUUCCAGGCAUAAAGAAAAGAAAGAGCAGGAAAUAUAAUUUGGGAGAUUUUAAUGGCCAGACUUGGAAGUGGUGUGCAUAACUAUUGUCUGCAUUCAGAACACCAUCAUUUGCCCCAGGUUGCUGGAAGAGAAGCAGGAAAAGUAUCCUCAUGUGAGCCCAGGAGGUUUGGGUCUGGUCUUGGUGCAAGAAAGCAGAGACAUUUCAAGGUGAGGUUGUUACUCAGCAAGGGCUUGCCACCCUAUAUGCACAGAAACCAAUACAAUGGCAUACUGGUCUUUGAAAGAAGUUUAUCGCACCAUGGAUUGGCAAGGAAACAGAAGGACCGGCUCUCAAUUAUGUCGCCACCAUCCAGAGUAUAAGGAUCAGGACUGAUCAGAAGCUCAUUCCUAGACAUUUGCUACUGUUUGGAGAUCUGAAGAGGGCUAAAUUCCUGAUCUAACAAGAGAGGUAUCCCUCCCCCCUCUUAAAUUUAAUUGCCUAGUUACACAGACCAGUUUAUGGUUGGGGCUGUCAAAUGACACUUGAUGCAAAUGGGCAAUCCCAAGAAACAAAUCUUAUCUCC
rnacentral:lncRNA from 1 species